CUCAAGAAGAGGAGUCUUCCUGACUUCAGGCCUGGCAUUAUCCACUGUACCACCUAGCUGCAAAAUCUGCACUUCAGAUACAAAUCCUGUGACAGCAGGGGAUACUAUAGUAAUGAGGACAGUGACUUCAGACUGUAGGUCAGGGAUUUGUCCUUUGGGGUCACCUGGACUCCUGAUUUUUUCUGACUUUCAUGAAACUUUGCCUGUGCAGUUAGAGCAUCUUUACUUGGCAAGUGGAGUUGACCAGGAGUUUUUCACAUUUUCGAUCUCCUAAGCGUCUGAUGAAGAGAAGUGGUCCUUCUUCCUGCCGACAUCCACGUUGGGACAUCUGCCCUCUCCCCUGGUCAUCCUCUCUCUAUCGGCUUCCAUUCCUCCCCAAGCACCAGCUGCCUCCCUGCUCUUCACAAGCAAGACCAAGUCUCCCUGAAAGACACUCGUGAGAUUCUACCAUCCCCUCCAGCCCUCGACCUGGGUCGUCUCCCUCUAUCUCAAGGGCCAGCUUCUAGAAAGAGCCCUCCCACUUGUCGCCUCUACCCUCUCUCUCCUCUGACUCACUGCUUAGCCCUUUACAGUCUGGCUUCUGACCUCAUUUCUUGACCACCCUCUCCAACAUUACCAGUGAUCUUUAAUCACCAAACCUGUGGCCUUUUUCUCAGUCUCCAUCCUUCUUGACCUCUGUGAAAUGUUUGACCUUCUCCUCUCCAGCCCUGGUUCUCUCCCCUCCUGGCUGCCUCAUACUUCCCAACUGAGUCAAGGUCCCUAUCCUGCCCCCUCCUCUUGAUUAUUCUCCCAGGGCUCGGUGCUGAGCCCCCUUCUGUCUUGGUGAUUCCAUUACCAUCUCUCAGCUGAGGAUGCCCAAAUCCAAACUCCCCUCUGGGCUCCAGUCCCACUUCCCCCACUCCCUAUAGGACCUUUCUCAAACCUAACAUGUUCCAAACAGGACUCAUUAUCUUUCCUCCCCAACCAGAUCAUCUUCUGGAUUCCUCUCUCACUGUCAAAGAUCAAGGGUCCAGCUCUCUCGGCUCUCCCAGGUUUGCCGGCUCAGCCUCAUUCUUCCCUCCUUACUGGCAGUAGCUCAGUAGUUGCCGUUCUGACCUCCAUAACAUCCUGUUCUCUCCAUUCACAUGAGAGCGAGCAUUUUCUAGUGCUUUAAGAUUUGCAAAGUGUCAUACAAGUCUUAUCUCCUUUAGCCCUCACGACAACCCAGGGAGGCACAACUAUUACUCCCCUUUUACAGAUAGGCAACUGAAGCAAACAGGGGUAAAGUGACUUUCCCAGGAUCACGUGGCUAGAAUGUGUCCGAGGCUGAAUUUGGACUCAGGUCUUCCUGACCAACCUACCUUCUAUCCCCUGUGCACCAUCUCAGUUCACGCUGCUGCUUUUCCCCUGGACUAUUGUAACAGCCUCCCCGCUGGUCCCAUUGCACUGUCUCUUUCCUCCCCACCCCUUCCUCUCCCUAGCUGCUAAAGCAACUUGCCUAAAGUUCAGGUUCCCUGUCAGUAAACUCAAGGGGCUCCCAAGUACCUCUAGACUCAGAUAAAACUUCUCCUUAGACCAUUAGUAUUCCACACCUGGAUCCUAACUGACCUUUCCAGCCUUAUUACACAUUCAUUUCCUUUCUCUUAUUUGAGCUGCCUUUACUCUCUCUCCUCCCAAGUUAAUCUCAAGAUUCACCUUCUACCUGAGGACUUUUCAAUUCCUGACCUUUAAAUUACCCUGUAUUUAUGUCAUCUCUCUUCUAUUUCUGUGCCCCUGUGUCCAUGUUGUCUCUCCCAGCUGAAUGUAAUCUCCUUGAGGGCAAGGACUGUUUCCCUUUGGCCAGGAAGAGCAGCAUGCUGCCAGCCUCUGAGCACAGAGAGCCAUUCCAUAAAACAGAUUUUUUAAGAAGAAAAACAAAGCAGAAGAGAAAAAGCAGAGAGCCUAGUCACCUGCCAGAUGGCCCUCAGCUCCCCCGAAGAGUGGGGGAGGAGCCUCCUCACCCCUCCCUUGACGCCCAGCUUGUUUCUGUGACCUGCAGCUUUCCUUAGUGGUUUUGUGAUUGUUGUGGUCACUGUGUUGACUGGUUCCUUGGCUGGCCUUACUUCAUUUUGGUGUAAAUCUUUACCCAUGUUUUACAGCACAGUAAUAUUCCACUCAUUCGGUGUCAGUCAAAUAAACUAUUUAGCACCUACUGUGUGUCAGGCACUGUGCUAAGUGCUAGGAAUACGAAGAAAGACAAAAGCCAGAACCUGCCCUCGGGGAGCUCCCAUUCCACUGGGAGACAACAAAAGAAGUAGCCCCACUGCAAAGCGCUAUCUACAGAGCCCACGGGUAAUAUCAAUGGAGGAAAAGCCCCGAGAAUACCCGGGAUCAGCCAAGGCUUCCCAUGAAAGGGGAGAUUCUAGCCUCCCUCGUUCUGACCCUCCCCUCACCUCCUCUUUCCCUUCUGCCUCCUUGGCUCCCUGUUCUCCAGACCCCAAAAGCACAUUGCCUUGAGUUCCAUCACAAGAGGAAAGAAAAUGCGUGAACUCAGAAAUAAUGAAGCAGGUAAAGAGAUUGGUUAUGGAACAGUGCUGGAGACCACGAAUCGAACAAACUUGGGAACAGCCUCAGCAAAGCUCUCCUGCAAGAUUUCCUGAAUGUCCAGCAAGCCCAUUCUGGUUUCCAUGGAGAUGACCAUGGCCUGGGAGGAAAAGAGGAAGAGACAGAGAAUGGAGGGAUAGAAACUAGACGCGGAAAAGCUUGAUGAAAGGAGGAUCCCAAUGCCUCCUGCUCUCAGCCAAGGAAGGUGGGGGGGGGGCUCCCAGGUGACAGCUGUGAAACUCUGGGUACAUUUGAGAGAAAGGCCAGAAUGGGGGAGCAGCCGCAGGAGCUCUCCGGAGGCGGGCUGUUGUCAUUGUAGACCAGCUAGGAGAGGGGAGAAUGGGGAAAAUCCUUAGAAAUAUAAAGGGGAAAAAGGACAAUUGUGAUUGUUUACAUUCUGCAUUUCUUUCACAAUAUAAUAAUUAAAAACAAUGAUGACUGCCAUUUAUCUUGCAUUUUUAAGUAAGGACAGGAAGGUGACUCUAUUUCCCAGGUGAAUCCAUUUGGAUGAUAGAUUAAGAAGUAGUCAGAAAUUCAGGAAUACCUAGGUUCAAAUCCUACCUCUGGCACAUUGUGGCCACUCUCUAAGACCAGAAGGUGCCCACUGGCCUUGGUGGAGGGGGCAUCCUGGUUCAAGAGUUCUCUAGACCAGUGAAGCCUCAGAUCUGGCCCUACCUUUAUCCAGUCAUCAAUAAGCCAAGCACAUAUGUCCAGCCUUCAUCUAGAAUCCCAAAUGAAGCUUGGGGAACACAAUGCAGAAUGAAGCCCUGAAGUUAAGGGGCUACAAAAGUGACCAAGACCAAAAGAAAACAGCAAAUUAGGAAAUGCCCUUGUUGUGAAUCCAGAGCCAGAGGCUGGAACUGGGAGACAAAUGGAACCUCGCGGCUUCUAACGAACUGGGGUCAACUUUGAAGGCCACAUCCAGCCACCACUGGGUAAACUGUUCAAGGAGAUGAGCUAACAGUUUACAAAAGGGUGGGGUGAAGGGGGGGGACCCAUGUUCAACAAUUCACUUCAGUGCCAGUGUUUUCCUGGGCACUCAGCUAGACUGUGGAGAUGCCAAGACAAAAACAAAGCAGUGUCUGCAGUCCAGAAACUUCCUUUUAAGGGGGAGGGGACAUAGAGAUACAGAACACCUAAGAAGGAACUGAGAGAGCUCAUGAUAGCCUAAACAGUUUUUCAAAACGUGGAAGUUCACUGAUGACCAGAGAAAUGCCAACUUUGAAGUUUCAUGUCCCAGUCACCAAUGUUGCAAAAAUAAUUAAAAGUGACCCAACUCGAUUCUGGUGGGGUCCUAUAGAAAAGGCUCUCUUUACCCAUUGCUGGUGUCAUGGUCCAUCUGUGGACUCCUUCAGCCUGUACAUGGCGGGAGCCACAGAAAACAAUCAACCUCUUUGAUCCAACAGUCACAUGAAUGGGAAGAUACUCUGAGUGUCAUCACAAAUGAAGAUAUAUCUCGUGGAAAACUAAUAUUAUGUUUAAUUGCAAAGAACUGAAAGAAACCUUGAGGUUCAAAAAAUUAU